UACGUAGGGGGCGAGCGUUGUCCGGAUUUAUUGGGCGUAAAGAGCGUGUAGGCGGUUCGGUAAGUCUGUCGUGAAAUCCUGAGGCUCAACCUCGGGCGUGCGAUGGAUACUGCCGGGCUAGAGGGUGGUAGAGGCGAGUGGAAUUCCCGGUGUAGCGGUGAAAUGCGCAGAUAUCGGGAGGAACACCAAUGGCGAAGGCAGCUCGCUGGGACGUGACUGACGCUGAGACGCGAAAGCGUGGGGAGCAAACAGG
rnacentral:rRNA from 1 species